UACAGAGGUCUCAAGCGUUGUUCGGAUUCAUUGGGCGUAAAGGGCGCGUAGGCGGCGGGGCAAGUCGGGUGUGAAAUCUCAGGGCUCAACCCUGAAACUGCACUCGAUACUGCUCUGCUUGAGGACUGGAGAGGAGACUGGAAUUCACGGUGUAGCAGUGAAAUGCGUAGAUAUCGUGAGGAAGACCAGUGGCGAAGGCGGGUCUCUGGACAGUUCCUGACGCUGAGGGCGCGAAGGCCAGGGGAGCAAAGCGGG
rnacentral:rRNA from 1 species